AAGAUAGUAUCUCCAAAAUGGAAAUCCUUCAAAGGCAUACGAUUUCUCUGGCGAGACAAAAUUCGACUGAAUAACGCCAUCUGGAGAGCCUGGUAUAUUCAGUAUGUUGAAAGAAGGAGGACUCCUGUAUGCAGCUUUGUUACACCUUUGGAGGGCUCAGAAGCAGAUGAGCAUCGUAAGCCAGAGGCCAUUGUACUUGAAGGAAAAUACUGGAAGAGGAGGAUUGAGGUUGUAAUACAAGAGUACCACAAGUGGCGUAUAUACCAUAAGAGAAGAUUGCACAAAUUUAACCAAGAUGGAGACCUCUUGGGCCUUACAAAGG